rnacentral:sRNA from 1 species
GAAGAGCGUAGCUGGUGGCCAGGAUAUUCUUAAAUAUAUUUUGAGCCUGAGUCUCAUUUGUGGGAGUGUGGGGCCGGGAGGCAGAACCCGGCAUAAGUUCAACACAGGAACCACGCACUUUUCAAACAGCCACAGAGGACUGAGAACACGGGUCACCUCCCUUUGCCUGGUGGCAUACAGGCUCCGUGAGUAGUCUAGCCCAGGAGCUCCUCAGAAUAUGCACCAAGACAUGGCCGGACCCUUACCUUUCAGUCAGAGUUGACUGAGUUUGCACACUGUUUACUCUGUCUUUUGGGUGACGUGGUCCUUGUCAUCAUCCGAACUCUCUAAAUUUCCCUACGAAGGAACCUCUGCACCUUUGCUCUUCUUGCCCAGUCAGCCAUCCUCCUCUCCCAUUUUCCUUAAACAGCAUCUCAGAGGUCUCUGAACCCACAUUUCCUGAUCCACAAUUCCCAAGACCCCAGGAAAAUCUUAUUCUUGCAAAGGCUGAGUUGGGCGUCAACCAGGAAAGUUAUGAAAACGGUGUAAACAUGUAGCAGGUCCUUCUCCCUUCCUGAUAAAACCCAGGGAUAGGUUCCACUGUUGGCAACUAAAAUAUUACUGGCUUGUCUUGGUUCACAGAACGGAAGGAAAGGUUAAAAGGCUUGUAAGCCUUGUAAGGGUGGUGAUGCAGGAAGAACGGAGGCCUUCCCAGGACACUGUGAAGGAGCUGGAGGCUCUGGCUGUCCUUUGGUCAAGACUAAUAUCCCCAGGACAGCAUCUGAUUGGUUACUCUUUGCCAGGAAGAGAAGGACACUCUGAAGGACACUCCCGCCAGCUAUUCUGCUCUAGGAAGAACAUUCACUACCCAAUCCAGAUGCAUCAAAUCAGGGUGCUAAAUCAGGGUGCUUCAUCAGAAAGGGAUAGAUGCAAGGUAGCCCUGGCUUGCCUGGAACUAUGUAGAUCGGGCUGACUUCAAACUCGACAGAGAUCUGCCUGCCUCUUCUUCUUAAAUUCUGGCAUUAAAGGAUGAGAAUGAUGUUUCUGAACCCAUUGGGUUGCUAAGUAACUGCAAGCCACUUUGCAGUGAACUCCAGGACAUGUCUACCCCACAGAGCACGGAUUUAAAUGCACUUGGACAGGUGGUUACUAGGAAACAAUGGGGCAGUAGAGCACACAGGACAAGGAAUGAUGGUUUCUCUCAAAAAGAGAGAGCUCUACGUCACGGCGUCCCAAAUGUGGCUGCUUCAAACUCGCGGUGUAGUCAAGGAUGAGUCUGAAUGUCGGAUGCUCCGGCCUCCAGGUGUGUACCACCAUCCCCACUUUAUGCAGCUCCGGAGACGGAACUCAGAGUUUCCUAUAUGAUUGGCAAGCGGUCUAGCAACCGAGCUAUAACCCUAGUUCACCAUAAGCUACAUCCCAACAAGCCGUCCAGGUGACUGAGAGCUGUGCUCUGGCUGAUGAUGCUUUAUGAGUCUGAGGACUUGCUGCCCGACCCUGUACUACUUCUGAGAGAAUUGAGAAGGUUAUUUUCUUUAUGUGAAAUCCUCCAUUUUUAAACAUUGGCAACUAGUUCAAAAUUUAGAAAUGAACUGUGUGGGCUAAUAAUAUACCGGCUCCAGCUGGAUCUGCCACCGCCCCCCUGUUUUCUGCUCUGCUCUUGAAUUCUCUGCAAUGAUGCUCACUUCGUGGAGGACACUGUAGAUCCUGAAGGUGAAGCACUGCUCUGAGCCACUCGCCAGAAGCCACUCACUCCUUGCUUGCACGCGGGUGACCCUGCUCUUCUUGUGUAUGCAGAAGAGAAACUGUAUGCCCGCCUAGCUCAGAAUCUGGCACUAAAAUAAACCUGACCUUAAGAACUUUCA